UACAGAGGUGGCAAGCGUUGUUCGGAAUUACUGGGCGUAAAGGGCGCGUAGGCGGCCUUCUAAGUCAGACGUGAAAUCCCCCGGCUUAACCUGGGAACUGCGUCUGAUACUGGGAGGCUAGAGUGUGGGAGAGGGAUGCGGAAUUCCAGGUGUAGCGGUGAAAUGCGUAGAUAUCUGGAGGAACACCGAUGGCGAAGGCAGGUCACUGGGCCGCAACUGACGCUGAGGAGCGAAAGCAUGGGGAGCGAACAGG
rnacentral:rRNA from 1 species